rnacentral:snoRNA from 1 species
GGGACUACACUUUCAGGGAUAAUUUCUAUAGUUCGUGACUAGAGAAGGGUUUCUGGCCGUGGAGCCCUGGCAACCACAAGGAGGAGGCCAGCACACUCUCCCAAGCUGAAGUGGCUCUCGGUAAAAUGAUCAUUCUUACUUUCCUUCUGGGAAGCAAGGGGGAGAGGACGCAGUCUGAGUGCA